UACGGGGGGAGCAAGCGUUGUUCGGAUUUACUGGGCGUAAAGGGCGCGUAGGCGGCGCAACAAGUCACUUGUGAAAUCUCCGGGCUUAACCCGGAGCGGUCAAGUGAUACUGUCGUGCUAGAGUGCGGAAGGGGGCUACUGGAAUUCUCGGUGUAGCGGUGAAAUGCGCAGAUAUCAGGAAGAACACCCGUGGCGAAAGCGGCUCUCUGGGACGGUACUGACGCUGAGACGCGAAAGC
rnacentral:rRNA from 1 species